GACGAACGCUGGCGGCGUGCUUAACACAUGCAAGUCGAACGAAGUGGCGAACGGGUGAGUAACGCGUAAUCAACCUGCCCUUCAGAGGGGGAAAACAGUUGGAAACGACUGCUAAUACCGCAUACUGAAGGAGGGGAUUGCGUCUGAUUAGCCAGUUGGAGGGGUAACGGCCCACCAAGGCGAUGAACAUUAGCCGGGCUUGGAGGAUGUACGGCCAAAUGGGGACUGAGACACGGCCCAGAAUCCUACGGGAGGGAGCAGUGGGGAAUCUUCCGCAAUGGACGAAAGUCUGACGGAGCAACGCCGCGUGGGUGGUGACGGCCUUCCGGUUGUAAAGCUCUGUUAAUCGGGACGCGGUACCGGAAUAGAAAGCCACGGCUAACUCCGUGCCAGCAGCCGCGGUAAUUC
rnacentral:rRNA from 1 species